GGAGAAAACAGAGCCAGAGGCCGGCCGCUGGGGCUCCAGGAAGGAAGUGGGGAGGCAGGGUCCCCUGGCUGGUCCCCAAAGGGGACCCAGGUGGGUCUGUCCAAGGCCAGUUCCCCGCUCUCAAUCACAGCGGCCUGGGGCUUCCCUCAGUGUCCCAGGGAGUGGGUGCCUGGCCUGGGAUCCGGAGAGGAGGCUGGAGCACCUCCAGGCCCAGUCCCGGGACAGGGGAACUGAGAUGUUGGAAGAAGCCAAAAAAGGAAGCGGAUCCCUUGCUUUCACAUCCAUUAUCUCAUCUGACCCCUAAGCUCCUGUGAGAAGGGAGAGGCAGGUGGAGCGGCCCUGAAGGACCGCAACUCCAUAUCCAGAGGCGUUUCGGAAUGUUGCGGAUUUUAGGAAAAUACCAGGCGCGCACCUGCCAGCAAGGGUUGGAGCAGAACAUUGUCAUCCAGUUAUCUGCAUUUCUGUAGUAAAACUAAACGUAAUAAAUAAAGACCACCCA